rnacentral:rRNA from 1 species
GACAGAGGUGGCAAGCGUUGUUCGGAUUUAUUGGGUGUAAAGGGCGCGUAGGCGGCCUGUUAAGUCGAACGUGAAAUCCCCGGGCUCAACCCGGGAACUGCGUCCGAUACUGGCAGGCUUGAAUCCGGGAGAGGGAUGUGGAAUUCCAGGUGUAGCGGUGAAAUGCGUAGAUAUCUGGAGGAACACCGGUGGCGAAGGCGGCAUCCUGGACCGGUAUUGACGCUGAGGCGCGAAAGCCAGGGGAGCAAACGGG